UUGCUUCAGUAGCAUAUGGACUAAAAUUUGAAUUAAUCAGAAUAGAUUAGCAUGGCCACUAAACAAGGAUAAUACUCAAAUUCAUGAAACAUUGAAGCUUUUU